GCGGGCGUAGCUCAAUGGUAGAGCCUCAGUCUUCCAAACUGAUGGUGCGGGUUCGAUUCCCGUCGCCCGCU
rnacentral:tRNA from 2 species